UACGAAGGGUGCAAACGUUGCUCGGAAUUAUUGGGCGUAAAGCGCACGUAGGCGGCUUAGUAAGUUGGAUGUGAAAUCCCUCGGCUUAACCAAGGAAGUGCAUCCAAAACUACUGAGCUUGAGUACUAAAGAGGAUCGCGGAAUUCCCGGUGUAGAGGUGAAAUGCGUAGAGAUCGGGAGGAACACCAGUGGCGAAGGCGGCCAUCUGGAUCAACACUGACGCUGAGGCACGAAAGCGUGGGGAGCAAACAGA
rnacentral:rRNA from 1 species